GAUGGUAUAAAUGGUCUGGCCUGCUCACUGAUAAGUGUAUUUAAGAGCCGCGGUAUUUUGACCGUGCAAAGGUAGCAUAAUCAUUAGGGGUUUAAUUGGAACCUGGUAUGAAGGGUUGGACAAAGGAAGAGCUGUCUUUAUACUGUAGAUUGAAGUUUACUUUUAAGUGAGAAGGCUUAAAUAAAUCAAAGGGACGAUAAGACCCUAUAAAGCUUUAUAAAUUAUUUAGGUUUAGUUGAUUUAAGACAUAAGAGUUAAAUUUACAUUAUUUUAUUUUAUUGGGGCGAUAUGAGUAUAAUUUUUAUUAACUGCUUAAGGAAAAUACAGAUUUAGAUGAGUAUAUAAUUAAAUGAUCCUUUUUAAAGAUUAAAAGACUAAGUUACUUUAGGGAUAACAGCGUUAUUUCUUUUGAGAGUUCAUAUCGAAAAAGAAGAUUGCGACCUCGAUGUUGAAUUAAAAUAUCUAUAUGAUGCAGCCGUUAUAAAAGAGGGUCUGUUCGACCUUUAAAUUUUUACAUGAUUUGAGUUCAGACCGGCGUAAGCCAGGUG
rnacentral:rRNA from 1 species